rnacentral:lncRNA from 1 species
CGGAAAUGAGGUCCUUCUGGUGGGAGCAGGGUUGUAUGGAUCACUCUCAGUCCUUUCUCUGUUGUUUUUUCAUUCGCUUUGGCCUGCACGUGAUGAGAGCACCCCUGCACGUAAGGCUCGGUGAACUGCAGACAGCGCCGUGUCCUUGGAGCACUUCACGGCAAAACAACGGAUGGAAGUGAUGGAUAAAUCCACAUCAGGUGGGCUGGAAGAAGGGGCUAUAACUUGAAGUCUCCUUGGCAGGGAGACACACUGUAAAUUACCCAAGAAGGGCAAAAUCUACCCCAAAGUAUCUGUGGGAGCUGAGGAGAUCAAAGCUGGGAGGAACAGCCCACUACAUGCUUGGCUGAAGGUUCAUGCGUGCAUCUGAACACCACCAUCCUCUACCAUUAAACCACGUGUCCAGCAAACCCUGGGACUCUGUAGCCCAGGCAGCUCAGCUCAGAAAGGACAAUUUCAAAAGUGUAGUUGGUUUAAAGUGAUUACUGCAAGGAGCAGAGCUGACAAACAUGUGAAAGGACAGUUGUUGAAAAAGCACGUACUUCUUUGUCAGCAAUGAAAAGUAAAACUCGACAAGUGGAUUCAUGGGUCUAACUUAGCACUGUCAGCUUUAGGUUUCCUAAUAGGGAGGCGUGUAAACAAAAAUACUUUGCUACUGCCAACUUCUAGCACAUUUCUAAUCAAAUUAAUUCUGUUCCAGAAGAAGUAUAUAUUUUAUUUAAAAACAACAAAACCCCAAAACCUCUAGAUGUAGAUUGAAUCAAUUUUUGAAGAGAUUCAGAAAUCUCAACUGCAGACUUGUAUUAUUCAUAGCACAAGUAUGUGCCACAUCUCCUCCAAGGCUGGAAUUUAUCUGGAGAAAACAAGGUGAUGUUU